AGGAGUCAUUCGGUGUCUUUUGGGUGAAAUCGAAUGGCUAAAGCUAUGCAAUACACCAACCACUCCAUUCAGAACGAACAUCUGACGAAACUGAAUUGUCCAAUUUCAUGGACCAAUCGAUAUCGGAUUGUGGCCAAACCUUGGGGAACAUCAUAAUACGGUGGGAGGGGUCAUUUGGUGUCUUUUGACAGAAAUCCAGUGGCUAAAACUAUGCAAUACUCCAACACUCCAUUUCAGAACGAACUUCGUACGAACCUGAAUUGUCCAAUUUCAUGGACCAAUAGAUAUCGGAUUGAGUCUAAAACUUGUAGAACAUCAUAAUACGGUGGGAGGAGUCGUUUGGUGGGUUUUGAGUGAAAUCCAAUCUCUACAACUAUGCAAUACACCAACCACUCUAUUUCAUAAUGAACUUCGUACGAACCUGAAUUGUAGAAUUUCAUGGACCAAUCGAUAUCGAAUGGAUUCCAAACCUUGGGGAACAUCAUAAUACGGUCGGAAGAGUCAUUUGGUGGGUUUUGAGUGAAAUCCAAUCUCUACAACGAUGCAAUACACCAACCACUCAAUUUCAGGACGAACUUCGUACAAACCUGAAUUGUCCAAUUUCAUGGACCAAUCGAUAUCGGAUUGAGUCCGAAACUUGGGGAACGUUCUAAUAUGGUGGGAGUAGUCAUUUGGUGUCUUUCGAGUGAAAUCCAAUGGCUAAAACUAUGAAAUACACCAACCACUCCAUUUCAGAACGAAAUUCGUACGGACCUGAAUUGUCCAAUUUCAUGGACAAAUCGAUAUCGGAUUGAGUCCUAACCUUGCGGAAUAUCAUAAUACGGUGGGAGGAGUCAUUUGGUGUCUUUUGAGAGCAAUCGAAUGGCUAAAACUAUGCAAUACUCCAACCACUCCAUUUCAGAACGAACUUCGUACGAACCUGAAUUGUCCAAUUUCAUGGACCAAUCGAUAUCGGAUUGAGUCUAAAACUUGGGGAACAUCAUAAUACGGUGGGAGGAGUCGUUUGGUGGGUUUUGAGUGAAAUCCAAUCUCUACAACUAUGCAAUACACCGACCACUCCAUUUCAUAACGAACUUCGUACGAACCUGAAUUGUCGAAUUUCAUGAACCAAUCGACAUCGGAUUGAGUCCAAAACUUGGGGAUCAUCAUAAUACGGUGGGAGGAGUCAUUUGGUGUGUUUUGAGUGAAAUCCAAUGGCUAAAACUAUGCGAUACACCAACCACUCUAUUUCAGAACGAACUUCGUACGAACCUGAAUUGUCCAAAGUCAUGGACCAAUCGAUAUCGGGUUGAGUCCAAAACUUGGGGAACAUCAUAAUACGGUGGGAGGAGACAUUUGGUGUCUUCUGAGUGCAAUCGAAUGGCUAAAACUAUGCAAUACUCCAACCACUUCAUUUCAGAACGAACUUCGUACGAACCUGAAUUGUCCAAUUUCACGGACCAAUCGAUAUCGGAUUGAGUCCAACACUUGGGGAACAUCAUAAUACGGUGGGAGGAGUCAUUUGGUGGGUUUUGAGUGAAUCCAAUCGCUACAACUAUGCAAUACACCAACCACUCCAUUUCAUAACGAACUUCGUACGAACCUGAAUUGUCGAAUUUUAUGAACCAAUCGACAUCGGAUUGAGUCCAAAACUUGGGGAUCAUCAUAAUACGGUGGGAGGAGUCAUUUGGUGGGUUUUUAGUGAAAUCCAAUCUCUACAACGAUGCAAUACAAUAACCACUUCAUUUCAUAAAGAACUUCAUACGAACCUGAAUUGUUCAAUUUCAUGGAGCAAUCGAUAUCGGAUUGAGUCCAAAACUUGGGGAACGUCCUAAUACGGUGUGAGGAGUCAUUCGGUGUCUUUUGGGUGAAAUCGAAUGGCUAAAGCUAUGCAAUACACCAACCACUCCAUUCAGAACGAACAUCUGACGAAACUGAAUUGUCCAAUUUCAUGGACUAAUCGAUAUCGGAUUGUGGCCAAACCUUGGGGAACAUCAUAAUACGAGGGGAGGGGUCAUUUGGUGUCUUUUGACAGAAAUCCAGUGGCUAAAACUAUGCAAUACUCCAACCACUCCAUUUCAGAACGAACUUCGUACGAACCUGAAUUGUCCAAUUUCAUGGACCAAUCGAUAUCGGAUUGAGUCUAAAACUUGGGGAACAUCAUAAUACGGUGGGAGGAGUCGUUUGGUGGGUUUUGAGUGAAAUCCAAUCUCUACAACUAUGCAACACACCAACCACUCCAUUUCAUAAUGAACUUAGUACGAACCUGAAUUGUAGAAUUUCAUGGACCAAUCGAUAUCGGAUGGAUUCCAAACCUUGGGGAACAUCAUAAUACGGUGGGAGGAGUCAUUUGGUGGGUUUUGAGUGAAAUCCAAUAUCUACAACUACGCAAUACACCGACCACGCUUUUCAUAAUAACUUCGUACGAACCUGAAUUGUCCAAUUUGAUGGACCAAUCGAUAUCGGAUUGUGUCCAAAAGUUGGGGAACAUCAUAACACGGUGGAAGGAGUCAUUUGGUGGGUUUUGAGUGAAAACCAAUCUCUACAACUAUGGAAUACAACAACUGUGCCAUUUUAGAACGAACUUCGUACGAGCCGAAAUUGUCCGAUUUCACGGACCAAUCG
rnacentral:lncRNA from 1 species